UCCAUUUCAGAACCACUGCCACAAGUGGUUCCCAUUCGGCCAUCUGAGUGCACCCCAAUUCCUCUUGUGCAGCCCUUACAGUGCCCCAUCUUACACCAGGAUCCCAGUAGCUUUGCUGCUAGUUUACGGGAGCUGGAAAAGUGUGGCUGGUAUUGGGGACCCAUGAACUGGGAAGAUGCAGAGAUGAAGCUGAAGGGGAAACCCGAUGGCUCAUUCCUAGUAAGAGACAGCUCUGAUCCCCGCUAUAUUCUGAGCUUAAGCUUUCGCUCACAGGGCAUCACUCACCACACACGCAUGGAGCACUAUCGAGGUACAUUUAGUCUGUGGUGUCAUCCCAAGUUUGAAGAUCGCUGCCAGUCUGUAGUUGAAUUCAUUAAACGAGCAAUUAUGCACUCAAAGAAUGGAAAGUUCCUGUAUUUUCUACGCUCACGGGUGC